rnacentral:rRNA from 1 species
GAGUGCCCGUAAAAUCGGGCUGUCCACCAGUUUAAAUAACUGGUGAAGAAAGGGCCGGGCAAGACCGGUGCCAGCCGCCGCGGUAAUACCGGCGGCUCGAGUGGUGGCCACUAUUACUGGGCUUAAAGCGUUCGUAGCUGGUUUGUUAAGUCUCUGGGGAAAUCUUCCGGCUUAACCGGAAGGCGUCUCAGGGAUACUGGCAGACUAGGGACCGGGAGAGGUGAGGGGUACUCCAGGGGUAGGAGUGAAAUCCUGUAAUCCUUGGGGGACCACCUGUGGCGAAGGCGCCUCACCAGAACGGCUCCGACAGUGAGGGACGAAAGCUGGGGGAGCAAACCGGAUUAGAUACCCGGGUAGUCCCAGCUGUAAACGAUGCGCGUUAGGUGUAUCGGUGACCACGAGUUACCGAGGUGCCGAAGAGAAAUCGUGAAACGUGCCGCCUGGGAAGUACGGUCGCAAGGCUGAAACU